rnacentral:rRNA from 1 species
AUUGAACGCUGGCGGCAGGCCUAACACAUGCCAGUCGAACGGUAACAGGAAGAAGCUUGCUUCUUUGCUGACGAGUGGCGGACGGGUGAGUAAUGUCUGGGAAACUGCCUGAUGGAGGAGGAUAACUACUGGAAACGGUAGCUAAUACCGCAUAACGUCGCAAGACCAAAGAGGGGGACCUUCGGGCCUCUUGCCAUCGGAUGUGCCCAGAUGGGAUUAGCUAGUAGGUGGGGUAACGGCUCACCUAGGCGACGAUCCCUAGCUGGUCUGAGAGGAUGACCAGCCACACUGGAACUGAGACACGGUCCAGACUCCUACGGGAGGCAGCAGUGGGGAAUAUUGCACAAUGGGCGCAAGCCUGAUGCAGCCAUGCCGCGUGGAUGAAGAAGGCCUUCGGGUUGUAAAGUACUUUCAGCGGGGAGGAAGGGAGUAAAGUUAAUACCUUUGCUCAUUGACGUUACCCGCAGAAGAAGCACCGGCUAACUCCGU